rnacentral:rRNA from 1 species
CGGGUGAGUAACGCGUGGGUAACCUGCCUCACACAGGGGGAUAGCAGUGGAAACGACUGGUAAUACCGCAUAAGCGCACAGCUUCGCAUGAAGCGGUGUGAAAAACUCCGGUGGUGUGAGAUGGACCCGCGUCUGAUUAGGUAGUUGGUGAGGUAACGGCCCACCAAGCCGACGAUCAGUAGCCGACCUGAGAGGGUGACCGGCCACAUUGGGACUGAGACACGGCCCAG